rnacentral:rRNA from 1 species
GAUGAACGCUGGCGGUAGGCCUAACACAUGCAAGUCGGACGGCAGCACAGGAGAGCUUGCUCUCUGGGUAGCGAGUGGCGGACGGGUGAGGAAUACAUCGGAAUCUACUUUUUCGUGGGGGAUAACGUAGGGAAACUUACGCUAAUACCGCAUACGACCUACGGGUGAAAGCAGGGGAUCUUCGGACCUUGCGCGAUUGAAUGAGCCGAUGUCGGAUUAGCUAGUUGGCGGGGUAAAGGCCCACCAAGGCGACGAUCCGUAGCUGGUCUGAGAGGAUGAUCAGCCACACUGGAACUGAGACACGGUCCAGACUCCGACGGGAGGCAGCGGUGGGGAAUAUUGGACAAUGGGCGCAAGCCUGAUCCAGCCAUACCGCGUGGGUGAAGAAGGCCUUCGGGUUGUAAAGCCCUUUUGUUGGGAAAGAAAUCCAGCUGGUUAAUACCCGGUUGGGAUGACGGUACCCAAAGAAUAAGCACCGGCUAACUUCGUGCCAGCCGCCGCGGUAA